rnacentral:rRNA from 1 species
GACGAACGCUGGCGGCGUGCUUAACACAUGCAAGUCGAACGGAAAGGCCCCGUUGGUGGUACUUGAGUGGGGGACGGGUGGGUAACACGCGAGUAAGUUGCCCUUUACUUCGGGUGAACUUCAGGAAACUAGGGCCAAUAAUGGAUAGGAAUCCUUGCUGCAUGGUCGGGGUUGGAGAGCAUCGGCGGUUGUGUAUGGACUCACGGCCGAUCAGCUUGUUGGUGGGGGAGUGGGUUCCCAAGGCUUUGACGGGUAGCCGGCCGGAGGGGGUGACCGGCCAGGUUGGACUGAAGUUCGGGCCCAGGCUCUAACGGAAGGCAGCGUUGGGGAAUUUGCAGCAAGGGGGGGAGGCCUGAUGAAGCAACGCCGCGUGCGGGAGAACGGCCUUGGGGUUGUAACCCGCUUCCGCCUGGGAGAAGCUUGUGGUGACGGUACCGGCUGAAGAAGCACCGGCUAACUACGUG